UCGAUUGCUCAGUACACUCCAAAAUCCAAAACCGGAGAAACCAAUCCAGAAUCAAUAUGAAAUUCUUCUCAGUCGUCACCGUCUUCGUACUCGGUCUGCUGGCUGUGGCCAACGCUGUUCCACUGCCCGAACCAGGAACCGUUAACGUCGGCAGAAACUGCAAUAAUUGCGAAAUCAUAAACGUUGACCAGAAACAGAAAAUAUGUUACAAAACGUAUAAUGGGCUUACCAUUUGUUAUAGGUUGUGAAGUCACACACACAUUUAUAAUGCCAAACAAAUAAAUACAUAAAAAGAGA